UCCUCUGCCUCGUCCCUGGGGAGAUGGGAGCCUUCAGCCUGAGGAUGCUGAGCAAACCCUGCUACUUUUCUUCUGCAGGGAACAAACCCACAGGGCCACAAACGCCUGGCUUCCGAGGGAGGAGCUGACUCCCCAGGCUGCCGCCCUACUCCAGAUGUGCACACCUGUGUGACCCUGCUCUGCCGCUGAGCUACAGACCUCCUUCCUAGUCCAGCCCCCAACAUCUCUGCCUUCGAGAACUGUUUUUGAACCUCAGUGACUCCAGGAGAAGACAAAGGAGAUCGUCUGAGGGUGCCUGUGCCGCCCCUCCCAAAGGGGAGACAGGGACCAAACGGGAAUGAGCUGAAGCCUAACACCAGAAGUGACCCCCCUGCAGCGAAGGGACCCUGGAGAGCGGUCCUCUUCUCCCUCCUGCUCCUGCAGCCUGAAGAAUGCCUGUCACCUGCUAAUGGGACCCGGCAGGUGGAACCAGAUUGCAGGUUGAAAUGAAGAUGUCAGACCACAAGGCAGGGGACAGUAACCAGCCCUGGCAGCUGUUCAGCCAGCAGAACAGACCCCUCAUCGCCUGCCUCCCAGGGGCCUCAGCUCGAGGCUCUCUUCUCCCCUCCACCUGCAGCCCCAAGAUGAAGGCAGAAUUGUUGCAGAGGCACCAACUACACACCACGCUGGACCCACUGAUCCGUCUUGACAGACCAGGCUUAAGGUUUUCAAAACUUUUUUAAUGGAGAAUUUCAAAACCAGAAAUGGAGCUGGAGAGAGGGGCUUUGUGUUUAAAAGCAAGCCCUGUUCUUGCAGAGGACCUGAGUUCAGUUCCCAGCACGCAGGAUGGGCCUCUCACAACUGCCUGUAACUUCAGCUGCAGAGAGAUCUGACACAAGCACAUGCCCACGAGCGUACACAGAAUUAACACCGGGGGAAGCCAGCUGUGGCGGCGUGCACUUUCAAUCCCAACACACGGGAGGCAGAAGCAGGCGGGUCUGAGUUUGAGGUCGGCCUGGAACAGGUGAGUUCCAGGACAACUAGGGCUACACAGAGAAAACCUAAACAAAGCAAAAAAGCAAAAAGGAAAGACAAAUGCAGAGCAUAAUGGAAAGAUCCUGAAAGUGGUGGCCGCUGCCAACACCGCCAUGGCCACACUCUCCCGUUGUCGUGAAGCAAGUCCCAUCAGCACACCAUUGCUUCUGUCAAUGUCUCACCGCGUAUCUGUGUUAGUUACUGUGGUUGUGACAAGAUACCCGACAAAAGCGACUCAAGACAGGGUUUACCUUGGCUCACAGUGGGCAGACGGACAUACACUACUGUGGGGAGGCGUGGCAGCAGCAAUGUGAGGCUGUUUGUCCCGUUUGUCCGUUGGUCUCAACACAACCACUGUCAGUAAAGGAUGAAGCAAAGGAUGAA